rnacentral:snRNA from 1 species
GCGCUUCGGCAGUACAUAUGCUAAAAUUGGAACGCUACAGAGAAGUUUAGCAUGGCGCCUGCGCAAGGAUGACACGCAAAUUCAUGAAGCGUUCCAUAUUUUU